GAGGGCCGGGGCCUAGGGAGGGGCGGUGUCGUAGGGCGGAGCCCGGAGCUCGGCCCCUGACGAGCCCGAACUCGUCAACUUCCUGUCGGUACUUGAAGAAGCGGAGCCAGGGCUGAGAUCCCGAAGGCGGGCGAGGUCUGGGAUGGGGCGGGGCCUAUGGGAGCGGGGCUGAAGCCCUGGGCCCGGCAGAGGAAGGUCGAGAUGGACCAUGUUGGGCCCCUUCUCUCCCCGCCCCCAGGCCGCAGUUCGGGGGCCACGCCCCGGCGUGCUCGGGUCACCGCGGGAAGCCCUUGAACCCCCUGGCGCCCGGCACCCACGUGCGGUAACCGCGGCUCCUCGAGAGCUCCAGGGAUGCGGAUCUACAGUAAGGGCUGUGGCCAGAUGAAUGAAUGCACAUUUUUUAGUGGGCAGAAAGAUGUUAGAAUUCAUGAAUUAGAAUAAGCACAAAGGAGGGCGAGAGGGGAGGCCGUGGAAGCCGCAUUCCUCCCCUUGCCUUGGGCGCCCACCCCCGAAGGGGCGCGUCCCCUCCCUGCUCCACUGCACGUGGGUGUUUAACCAGGGGAUAUCCAGUGCCUCAAGCACCACGACCCGGGAGAAAACUGAGUUGAGAAGGUCUUCUAACAAGCCUUUUGCACACCUGCCAUGUAUUUUGUCAGGCCUUGGGGAUGAAGGUGAGAAAUUCGAGAAUCCCCGGAGAUAACACAUCAGCAAAUAGUGCGCAGGCAGAACAAGCUGUUGGAGGUGAGAGACACAGAGCAGAGAAGCACCCGCACCUGGAGAGUCAGGAGGGCCUCACAUCAGAACGCCUGAGCAAAUACAGUUUUGAAGGAUACUAAUUUUUUAAAAAGUUCAUUCACAUGAGUUAGACAAAGAGAAAGAAGCAGGACAUUCUAGGAAGAAGGAACGGCCCAGGCAAAAGCGACGCGUACAUUGGCGUGGGUCCAUUCAAGAAUUGUGCCCACAAUAUACCAGGCACUUGUCCAGACCUGCAUCGUCCAAUGCCCACCUCGACCUCCCAAAGUGUUGGGAUUAGAGGCGUGAGCCACCGCGCCCUGCCUGCAUGUGGCUAUUGAGAUGUGCUGUAUGAUACACACCGGACUUUGAAGACUCAGUGUGAAAAAUAAAAAGAAUUUUAAGAGGGGUGGGGGUCGAGGGGAGGCAGAGCAGUAGGACAAAUAGCUAAUGCACGCAGGGCUUAAAACCUAGACAACAGGUUGAUGGGUGCAGCAAACCACCAUGACACAUGUUUAUCUAUAUAGCACCUACAUGUUCUGCACUUGUAUCCUGGAACUUAAAAUUAGAAAAAAAAAAUAAUAAAAGCCAACAUGGCAUUCAUUACUGCCAAAAAAAUUAAAACACAUUGUUAAUUUUG
rnacentral:lncRNA from 10 species